rnacentral:lncRNA from 1 species
UUAGGUGGUUUGGUAACCCACUUUUGACUAACUAAAAUGAUGGGUAAAUGAAAUGAAUCAUGUGCUCAUUUGCCCCUUAAAUGGCCGGACCUCUCCACUAACUUGGCCAAUUUUAUUUGUUGAUUUGUUUGUUUAAUAACCAUCUAGAAGAUCCAUACAAAUUGGGUCAUAACUUGGGCCAAUUAUUUUAUUAAUCAAUUAUCUAGUAUCUCCAAUGAAUAAAAUGCCCCUCCUUAAUUGGAUCAAAUUUUGAGCUUUCUAAUAAAUUAAGUUCUUAUGCCAUAAGAAAUUGACAUAGUCCAAUACUUGGGCUAUAAAAUAUACAUAAUCCAAUACCUUAAAUUCUUAUUCGACCCAAAUAAUUUAAUUAGGGUUUUCUCUUCCUUCAUUAUAACCCAAAUCCUUGCUCAUGCACACUUAUUUCCUUAACCCAAUUAGACUUGCUAUAAUUAGGUUAUAAAAUUAAUCAUUUGAGAUAUAUAAAAUAAAUCUCCUAGAAUUAGUAAGUAUUCUAAAUACCAC